GACGAACGCUGGCGGCGUGCCUAAUACAUGCAAGUAGAACGCUGAAGGAGGAGCUUGCUUCUCCGGAUGAGUUGCGAACGGGUGAGUAACGCGUAGGUAACCUGCCUGGUAGCGGGGGAUAACUAUUGGAAACGAUAGCUAAUACCGCAUAACAGUAGAUGUUGCAUGACAUUUGCUUAAAAGGUGCAGUUGCAUCACUACCAGAUGGACCUGCGUUGUAUUAGCUAGUUGGUGAGGUAACGGCUCACCAAGGCGACGAUACAUAGCCGACCUGAGAGGGUGAUCGGCCACACUGGGACUGAGACACGGCCCAGACUCCUACGGGAGGCAGCAGUAGGGAAUCUUCGGCAAUGGACGGAAGUCUGACCGAGCAACGCCGCGUGAGUGAAGAAGGUUUUCGGAUCGUAAAGCUCUGUUGUAAGAGAAGAACGAGUGUGAGAGUGGAAAGUUCACACUGUGACGGUAUCUUACCAGAAAGGGACGGCUAACUACGUG
rnacentral:rRNA from 1 species